CCCUCGAGGUAGGAUCCGAUCACUCGGCGG
rnacentral:sRNA from 1 species